UGGGGAAUUUUGGACAAUGGGCGAAAGCCUGAUCCAGCAAUGCCGCGUGUGUGAAGAAGGCCUUCGGGUUGUAAAGCACUUUUGUCCGGAAAGAAAUCCUUGGCUCUAAUACAGUCGGGGGAUGACGGUACCGGAAGAAUAAGCACCGGCUAACUACGUGCCAGCAGCCGCGGUAAUACGUAGGGUGCAAGCGUUAAUCGGAAUUACUGGGCGUAAAGCGUGCGCAGGCGGUUUGCUAAGACCGAUGUGAAAUCCCCGGGCUCAACCUGGGAACUGCAUUGGUGACUGGCAGGCUAGAGUAUGGCAGAGGGGGGUAGAAUUCCACGUGUAGCAGUGAAAUGCGUAGAGAUGUGGAGGAAUACCGAUGGCGAAGGCAGCCCCCUGGGCCAAAUACUGACGCUCAUGCACGAAAGCGUGGGGAGCAAACAGGAUUAGAUACCCUGGUAGUCCACGCCCUAAACGAUGUCGACUAGUUGUUGGGGAUUCAUUUCCUUAGUAACGUAGCUAACGCGUGAAGUUGACCGCCUGGGGAGUACGGUCGC
rnacentral:rRNA from 1 species